UCCCUGGUGGUCCAGCGGUUAAGACGCCAUGCUUCCAAUGCAGGGGGCCCAGGUUCAAUCCCUGGUCAGGGAA